CCUAGACUCCACAACUUAAGCCCUAAAUAUUGAGUGGUUCUACUAAGGCAUUGUCCCUUAAUCUUGGGUUGAGUGCAAAACUGCCUCUGGGGCAAAGUGGUUACUGUCCUUGUCCCUGUCUCCUAAAUUACCUUCUUUGUAAACAGCCCAAGUAAAAUGAAACAGCCCAAGUAAAAUGGGACUCCAGGGAAUGGCUGGCACACCACUGAACUGUUUGAACAUCAGAUCACAGGGAAACUCCACGAAGAGCCUAGAAGAAGGCAAACAGUUAUGUGACUGACGUCUCAGCCACGCAUUUGAUAGUAACUCAAGAUCUGAGCUGAGAGAAACCGGAGUCCUUGAAAGGCGGCUAACGGCGCCCCUCCCCACCGCCUGCCAGUCGCUCUACGUGGAUACAGAUAUGACUUGCUUUUGUUACAGUUGGAUCACAGAACCUCAGGCCUUGAAUGGAUCCUUGACUUUCUCAUAUUUGGACAAACAACAGCUUCAAAGUUGCCUACAAUGUACUAAACAAAGAUAGGAGAACUGCCCCAGAUAUGAUGAAAUUGUUUCCUGUAUGUGAAUGUUGAGAUUUAAGGAAAUGUCAUGAUUCCCCUUUGACUCACAUGUAAAUUCUUUUUUAUUUUUUUUUUUUGAAUGUUACUGCCUUUGAGACUUGCAAAUAGUUAAACCAGUUUACAUAGUUCUUUUUUCCCUUUCUUUUUAAGUACAGCUCUUAAGUAAGCAGACACUUUAACUUGCCUUCUUAUUAGACAGCCUUUUCUUUAUUGCUUUUUCAUAGCACAGCUAUCAAAAAUGAGAUAAUGUGCAAGAUCUGGGACCUAAUCAGCUUUCUAGCUGAGUUUAAAGAGUCCAGAGCCUGUUUAAAGGUAGCUCUGGUUAUGUGUGAGGGCCUACUGCAGUGUUUGUCCUGCCACAUUUUGAUGGAGAGGGUAAUGUGUUUGCUAGAUAAGGCAAAAGGGACCAGCCAAAAAAGCAAGGCUCUGUUUGAUAAACCCUGACAUAGUUAGCCAUUUUUCUCCCACAUGAAAGGAAGCUUUAAAACCCCAAGGAAAAAAGAGGUGUCCACUCAAGCACACUAAUGUUUAUCGAGACAAAAAAAGUAAAUAAAGAAAAUUGGCAUCUUUUAGUCUAUUAAAUUAAUUAGCUCUAGAGCUUAUCAUGGAAUUGAAAAGCUGGAUAAAAUACAAGUCUAUUUCUUGUUGCUGUUAUUUGAUGUGAAAGGUGAGUUCUUUACGUCAGUGUACAUUGAAAAGACAGUUACUUUGUUUGGCUUGUCUCGCUCUGGUAGAAGACUUGAACUCUACAGGAAGGAGUUCAUGAGCCGAAGUUGCACUUUUAUAAUGCUGACUGGUGUGGACUUGGGAUGAGAACUCAGUCUGACAUUAGUGUUAAACAUACACGAUGACAUUCUCUGUCAAGUGAUCUAUAGCCUGAAAACAGAUUUACAAAGCCAGAAUAAAAAUAUGCCACCUGACAUCUACUCAUAAAUAGAGGUCAGUUCUAAAAGUCCAAUUAAAAUAAGUUCAUACAUAAAGAUGUUUUAAAAUAAAAUGGCUUUACAAUCUAGAAUGAUGUGAAAGUCCUGGAGGUGAACUAUUGGCACAGGUGAGACACUUAUAAUAAUUGUCCUUUUCUAGGAAAAAUAAAGGGACAAAAUAUCAGAAAUCUUCCUAAAAUAGAGCUGUCUCUUGAAAUAAGAAUUUAGAUGAUAUAAGUUUGAAGAUUAUUUGGGGCUCGAUUUUUAUAGUAUGAUCACUUCCAGUUAAUUUAGAAAGAAAUAUCAAUCCUAGGUCAAUAUCUUAGUAAAACUUUCUACUUUUUUUCUUUAGAAAAGAUACUCCUCUGAUGUCUUGAUUUUCUAAAUCCCAAGUAUUUGAUAA